ACUGAAGACAAUGGAGAGACAACACCAGUAUCACUGACUGUGUUCUUACCCUGUGAGUUUGUUUUGUUUAAUUCGUUAUACGACUCAUCUUUGAUUUAUUAUCCUGACUUGUAUAUAAUUUUAUGGUUAAGAAAAGAUGUUUCUGAGUUUGCAUAUAUUUAAGGUGGCCAUAUUCUAAAUCCCCAAAAAGAGGACAUGACCGCGGGGGUGGAGUCACAGAAUCGUGCAUAGUUAAUUUUGAGAGUUUUUCAGGUGAGCUUGAGUGUUUUUAACACGCUUCUAACUCGGUAAGUCCACGGGACACAAACUCAAAACUUCCAAACAAAACUGCAAAUAUUUGAGGGAUUUUAUAAACUCCCUCAGAGUUUUAGAGCGCACAGUCCAAAAUUUGACUGAACAGGAAAAUAAGUACGUAAAAGCGCCACCUAGUGACAACAAUCCUGAAUUGGAUGAAGUGAGCCACAACCGCAUUUGCUGGUUUGUUGACAGCACGGGCGUAAAUACAACUCUUCUUUUUCUUCUGCGGUUGUUUUAGUGAAAUCAGACAACUCUGCACGUGUCCAAAUGAUUCUAAUCUGAAUAAAACUCAGUGCAUGUAAACGCACGUCAUGAUCGGAUUAUUUGAUUUUGCACCCAUAUCAACAAUAGAUUCAGAUUUUCUGAUCCCUCAAAUUUUUAAUCGGAUCAAGAAAAUUUGAGAGAUGAAGUUCACAUUAAAUCAGCAUAGCUAACCUUUAACAGUCUAAUAUCCUCUCUUAGUUGUCCCUGGUGUUACUCUUCCUAUUCAUGGUAUUUAUGGUGGUAUUUGGACCAAUCAGAGUCAAGUAUUUAACACAGCUGGGAGAUAAAGGAUGGGAAUCUUUCCACAUUAGCUGUAUGUAAAGAUGUUUAAGGUUCAAAACUGUAAAAAAAAGGAAAAAUCCACUUGCACGACUUCCUUUUAAGGGCUGGACACAGAUAACGGAGGCUGUUGGAAACAGGACGGACAGCUGCACACUGAGACAAAACAUCAAAACGCAGGCCACAGAUGUACGCAAUUAGCAACAUGGUAGACAUUUGGGGAGCAAAGGUCCAUAAACUCGCAACUUAUUAUGGUUGAUCUAACAUGGCUGGAGGGGAGCCGAAACUCAACAUCAUUAAUGGGCUUUAAGUUUGGGCUGGAACAUUCCUACGUCCAGAAUUCAACGUCAACAAACGGCUGCUAUAAAAGCCUUCUCAGAUCUUUAAUAUGAGUUUUCUAUGCUAAUAAAAACCUUAUCCCAAACAUGCAUGUGUGCAUGUCUUUACAGUGGAAGAGUACAGACGUGAACGAGAGGGAGAGAGCGUCUCAACAUGUGUCCCGUCAUUAGGAAACACUUAGCUUCCUGUUUGUGUAAAUAUUGUCUUAUUUUGUUUUGAAAGAGAGCGGGCUUGAAUAAUCACCGCUGACCCCUCUGCCCUCCGGUUUCCUGCUCAUCACGUGGACGCGGCUCACCUUCUGCUGAGACCAGAGGUAGCGGGCUGUCGUGACCCGUCAGAGGUCUGCUGUCAGGAAUGGAUGGAUCCUCCAAAGGUCAUGAGCGACAGCCACUGAUACCAAUGGGUAACAGCUGUUGGGCCAGUGGGCAUGGAGGACUUUUAAACUCUGUACAAAGACAAAAAUACCUCAAACAUUCUUACGGAGAUUAGUGUACGAGGUGAUAUCACCGCGGUAAGAUUCAUCGCACAGAUCGGCGAGGCUCAGGUUCACAGUAAAUCCUGAACACGGGCUCUUCUACGUCUUCUCGAGGAGUAAAACUUAUCAUAACUUAUUUGUGAAGUGGAAAUCUCAUAAACUUGCAGGGAUGUUCCAGAUGCAGCUGUCUGAAACUUUGAAAUAUUACAUGAUAAAUCUCUCAGCUCUGUAUUUCUCUAAGAUUUCUGGAAUGAUACCCUUAAAAUUUCUUUAUCCGUGGCAGCCAUCACCUGUCUUUCAUCUUUUAUGAAUGUUUUGUACUGACAGUUUGAUUUCUUGGUAUUCUCCUCCAAGAAAUAAUGGUUUUUGGAAAUGUUUGGGGGCCAUCUGUGACCAAGAUGCUGUGGUCUGAACUCUGGAUUUUAUCUUGAUAUUUAUGCACCAAUUCUCACACUCUAAAGUUAGCUCAGAAA